GACGAACGCUGGCGGCGCGCUUAACACAUGCAAGUCGAACGGAAAGGCCUGCUUUCCCUUGUGGAUUGCGGGUACUCGAGUGGCGAACGGGUGAGUAACACGUGAGUGAUCUGCCCCCAACUUGGGUAUAAGCCUGGGAAACUGGGUCUAAUUCCCGAUAGGACUGCAGGGUGGUGCCUGUGGUGGAAAACGAUUUUCUAGUGGUUGGGGAUGAGCUCGCGGCCUAUCAGCUUGUUGGUGGGGUAAUGGCCUACCAAGGCGGCGACGGGUAGCCGGCCUGAGAGGGUGGACGGCCACAUUGGGACUGAGAUACGGCCCAGACUCCUACGGGAGGCAGCAGUGGGGAAGAUUGCACAAUGGGCGGAAGCCUGAUGCAGCGACGCCGCGUGGGGGAUGACGGCCUUCGGGUUGUAAACUCCUUUCGACCGCGAGGAAGCCACCUGGUUGGAAGGGUGGUGACGGCAGUGGUAGAAGAAGCACCGGCGAACUACGU
rnacentral:rRNA from 1 species